rnacentral:piRNA from 1 species
GACUAAAAAUCAGCAGAGGCCAGUUGUC